rnacentral:lncRNA from 1 species
AAAGAGCCACCUCCUGGCUCAGGUUCCGGACUUCAAGCGUAGCCUUGUUGAAGCGGGUAAGAUAAUCCCGCAAGCUUUCUCCCUCGUUUUGCCGGACAUCGAAGAGGGAGUCGGAGACCAGUCGCCGCCGGCUACUGACGGCGAAAUGGGUGAUGAAGAGGCGAGUAAACUGGUCGAAGGACUGGAUUGAGUUAGCCUCCAAGCCGGCGAACCACGCCCUUGCCGGGCCACGGAGGGUCGCCGGGAAGGCCUUGCAGAGGAGAGGAUCUGAUGCUCCGUGGAGGAGCAUAAGAGUCCUGAAACUCUCGACGUGAUCUCGCGGGUCCGCCGCCCCGUCGUAGGGCUCGAUCGCCGGCAUUUUGAACCCCGGCGGAUUUGGGGUCCGCAGGAUCCUCG